rnacentral:rRNA from 1 species
GGGUUGUGAGGUUAAGCGACUAAGCGUACACGGUGGAUGCCCUGGCAGUCAGAGGCGAUGAAGGACGUGCUAAUCUGCGAUAAGCGCCGGUAAGGUGAUAUGAACCGUUAUAACCGGCGAUUUCCGAAUGGGGAAACCCAGUGUGAUUCGUCACACUAUCAUUAACUGAAUCCAUAGGUUAAUGAGGCGAACCGGGGGAACUGAAACAUCUAAGUACCCCGAGGAAAAGAAAUCAACCGAGAUUCCCCCAGUAGCGGCGAGCGAACGGGGAGGAGCCCAGAGCCUGAAUCAGCAUGUGUGUUAGUGGAAGCGUCUGGAAAGGCGCGCGAUACAGGGUGACAGCCCCGUACACAAAAGCGCAUGUGUUGUGAGCUCGAUGAGUAGGGCGGGACACGUGGUAUCCUGUCUGAAUAUGGGGGGACCAUCCUCCAAGGCUAAAUACUCCUGACUGACCGAUAGUGAACCAGUAGCGUGAGGGAAAGGCGAAAAGAACCCCGGCGAGGGGAGUGAAAAAGAACCUGAAACCGUGUACGUACAAGCAGUGGGAGCACAGGUUUACCUGUGUGACUGCGUACCUUUUGUAUAAUGGGUCAGCGACUUAUAUUCUGUAGCAAGGUUAACCGUAUAGGGGAGCCG